GUGAGGAAUUUUCCGCAAUGGGCGAAAGCCUGACGGAGCAAUGCCGCGUGAAGGAUGAAGGCCUAUGGGUUGUAAACUUCUUUUCUCAGAAAAGAAUUAUGACGGUAUCUGAGGAAUAAGCAUCGGCUAACUCUGUGCCAGCAGCCGCGGUAAGACAGAGGAUGCAAGCGUUAUCCGGAAUGAUUGGGCGUAAAGCGUCUGUAGGUUGUUUAAAAAGUAUUCUGUCAAAGAUUAGGGCUUAACCCUAGAUAGGCAGAAUAAACUUUUAAGCUAGAGUUUGGUAGAGGCAGAGGGAAUUCCCGGUGGAGCGGUGAAAUGCGUAGAUAUCGGGAGGAACACCAAAGGCGAAGGCACUCUGCUGGGCCAAUACUAACACUGAGAGAGGAAAGCGAGGGGAGCAAAUGGGAUUAGAAACCCUUGUAGUCC
rnacentral:rRNA from 1 species